rnacentral:rRNA from 1 species
GAUGAACGCUGGCGGCGUGCUUAACACAUGCAAGUCGAACGGAAAGGCUCCUGCUUGCAGGGGUACUCGAGUGGCGAACGGGUGAGUAACACGUGGGUGAUCUGCCCUGCACUUCGGGAUAAGCCUGGGAAACUGGGUCUAAUACCGGAUAGGACCACAUUUUGGAUGGUGUGGUGGAAAGUUUUUCGGUGUGGGAUGAGCUCGCGGCCUAUCAGCUUGUUGGUGGGGUAAUGGCCUACCAAGGCGUCGACGGGUAGCCGGCCUGAGAGGGUGUACGGCCACAUUGGGACUGAGAUACGGCUCAGACUCCUACGGGAGGCAGCAGUGGGGAAUAUUGCACAAUGGGCGCAAGCCUGAUGCAGCGACGCCGCGUGGGGGAUGACGGCCUUCGGGUUGUAAACUCCUUUCGCUAGGGACGAAGCGCAAGUGACGGUACCUGGAGAAGAAGCACCGGCUAACUACGUG